GAAGAACUGCAGACACUGAGGGCCCCGCCCCCCCCGGACCGACCGGGACAGCAGCCGUGCACUCUGUCCGGGCAGCAUGGGCGAUGCCUCCAUGUGCAGUGUCUCCUUCACACCAAACUCCACAGAUCUUCAGUCCUCAUGACCACGCUCUUGAAGAUCCAGAUGAUGGUUAACCAAGCAGGAACUUCUGCAGGUGAGCUGCAGAUGCAGGAUGGAUUCCUCACCCAAGCCACUGGUGUGGUCCGCUCUGGGCCCAGUGUAGGAGGUGGGGGUGGGUCCUCUUCUCCUCUGCCAGUCAGCAGCAUCUUUCUCCUUCUCCUGGGAAUAACCACACAGUCCUGCUUCGAAGUCGCAGUUUCCUGGAGGGGGCGGCGACGACAAACCUGAGGGGGGGAAAUGAAAACCAACUCAAAAAAACAUCAAAAAGGUGUUCCUCAGGGCGCUCACAGGAGAGGAGCUGUCACCUGCCGUCAGCUCGCAGUCUCCCAGACUCAUGCUGAUGUCGUCCAGAGCCACAGAGCCGCAGUCCCAGAAGCUCCUGCAGGUGCUGACGAAAGCCACCUGAACAACAGAGUGAGACCAUCAGCUGCAGAGCAGGUCUGCCCCACUACACCACAGCAUCUAACCUCUAGUGCUUAAAAUCACAGUCCUAUGCACACACAUUCACACACUGAUGGCGGCUCUGCUGCCACACAAGGCGCCAGCCUGGAACCACCAGGAGAAAUGUGAGGUUCAGUGUUUUGCCCGAGGACACUUCAACAUAUGGGAGGACAAAAAGGGAACCAAGCCUGCAAUCUUCCAAUCAGAGGUCAACCGCUCAAAAACCAUUCUGGUUGACUGCAAGCAGCUUCAGUGUCCAUGGGAGCUAAAUGAGAUCAAGGUUUGAGAGGAAAACUACGGUGGCCCUGAAGUGCAAAUCACACCAACAAAUCACCUCAAAGCCAAAACACGAUAAAGAUCAUGACGUCAAAUAAAAAAGCAAAACAAGUAAUAAAAAAUAACAUUACAUUUUAGAUUUCAAAACCAAAUUCCAGAAACCAAAACACAACAAAAAAAAGAAAGAAAAAGAAAUGACAUAAAAAUGAAAAGUUUCAGAAAUAUUUCGACCACCAAUUGUUCCCGUCAGAUUUCUGGAUGGAUUCGAUUCCAAGGCUGUGAUUCCCAUCAGAGUCAUCAAGUUAAUUUAUUGUAUUGUCAUAUUUGAUGAUAAUAAUCCCGACCGCUGCAGUGUGAAGAGCAACCUCACCCACUCUCUGAGUGUAUGGCACCAAAGCGUCAUAGCGACAGACAGACAGGCUGUGCAGACGGUCAUCAGCACAGCCCGGAAGAUCAUUGGCUGCCCCCCCCCUUGAGACCAUCUCAAAAUCAUGCUGCCAAAAAAGAAGGACAGACCCCACCCACCUUAUCCAUCACCUGUUAAACCUGUAAAACAAGUGCACUGCACGUUAAUCCUUUUUUAGAUAUUUUAUCUCCUACAGUGAGUCUUUGUAUUUUAUUGCCCAGUGCAUUGUUGCUGGUAGACCACCUGGAAUCAAAAUAAAGUCUUUGAAUCUUGAAUUAAGAAAGAGAGUUUAAUUAGAGCCAAGGAGGAACUGCUAGACACUUGUAGCUCACAAUAAACCCACAGUUAUGAUGUGUGUUAAUAAAAUGUCCUAAAUCAAGGUUGGAUUUCUGAAAGAC